rnacentral:rRNA from 1 species
CCUACGGGAGGCAGCAGUGAGGAAUAUUGGUCAAUGGCCGGAAGGCUGAACCAGCCAUGCCGCGUGAAGGUCAGUGCCCUAUGGGCGUUAAACUUCUUUUGUGCGGGAGCAAUAAUGGUCACGUGUGGCCAGACGAGAGUACCGUACGAAUAAGCAUCGGCUAACUCCGUGCCAGCAGCCGCGGUAAUACGGGGGAUGCAAGCGUUAUCCGGAUAUAUUGGGUUUAAAGGGUGCGUAGGCUGUGAGGUAAGUCAGCGGUGAAAUGCCCCGGCUCAACGGGGUGAAGUGCCAUUGAUACUGCCAUGCUGGAAUGCGGAUGCCGUGGGAGGAAUGUGUGGUGUAGCGGUGAAAUGCAUAGAUAUCACACAGAACACCGAUUGCGAAGGCAUCUCACGAAUCCGCGAUUGACGCUGAUGCACGAAAGCGUGGGUAUCAAACAGGAUUAGAUACCCUAGUAGUC